GAUCCUGAGCCCAUGCAGUUGGGGCGACUUUGAUUAUCUGCUCAUGAGAAACAACAUAGUCAACCGGGGAGUCCUAGUGGGAGUUUCUCCUCUCAUCUCCCCCCAGUCGCGUACCCAGUUGGCCGCCACCAUCAUGUACCAAGGCUCCGCCCAUUCCUGCAAGGCUCUUAUUGAUUCUGGCGCCGAGGCCAGCUUCCUGGACUAUAGCACUGCCAAGGACUGGGGCAUUCCUGCCAUUCCUCUUUCAUCUCCUGUCACUGUCUGGGGUCUCUCUGGUCAGCCUAUAGCCACUAUCACCCACACCACUCCUCGUGUUGAGGCUGCUGACCUCACUCGGGUUCCGGCGGAGUAUUGUGAUCUGCGGCUGGUUUUCAGCAAGUCCCGGGCCACCUCGCUGCGUCCUCACCGGCCGUUCAAUUGUGCCAUCGACCUUCUCCCAGGCACUUCUCCGCCCCGGGGUCACCUAUUUUCCCUGUCAGGUCCUGAA
ensembl:lncRNA